rfam:Sphingomonas dokdonensis strain DSM 21029 SPDO_contig000007, whole genome shotgun sequence.
CGCGCGGGCCGGGCCCCUCUGACACCCCACGAAGUGGGUGUGAUGUCGGACCGCGAUC